UGUGUCAUUUGCGCUUUCCUAUUUUCAUGUAGGGUGACCAUGAAAGCCAAGUGUUUCCACAACAAUUUCCGACUUCUACACCGAUCCAUCCGUCCUCGACCCAUCCAACAUUCAAUUCUCAAGGUACGCAUUUAUAUUAAACCACGUUCCUUUUUUCCUUUUUUUAAUCCAUAAUUUGUUCUUACAUUUAUGUCGUCUUUUAUAGUAGGUCAUGCACAUCCUUACUACUAUCCAGAGGUAUGGCGUCAAGGUGGCAAUGAGUUUUGAUCCAGUUGAAUGCAUUUUGUUAUGUUAUGGUCAUCGGGGCAGAUGUGAAUCACCCGGGGUCGAUGAAAUUGUUGGCAUUCCCGGCAGAUGAGGAGACAGUGACUGCAGCAAAGUACGUGCAGCCUGGCAUUCUGUAUAACUAGUGACAGCUAUAAUUGCAAAGAUGAAGAUGCAAGGGUAAAUGCUUCGAGCCAUGAUUGUUUGAAGAUGGAAAUUGAAGGUCUUUUGCUGAUCAGCUGGGAGACAGAAGUUUUGAAUUUGAUGACAGAAAACAAACUGCGUUUGGAGUAUUUAUAGAUGGAGUUCUCUCCCAGGGAUGAAAAUUAUUUUUGAUAUUGGUGGAAAUAGGUUCAGUUUGUUUAUGAAUCGAAUUGGUUGUUUGGAAAUUCUGAAAAUGGCUGCUACAUUGUUGUACUUAGUUAAAUCUGUUUUCCUACUAAUAAUAGAUAAUAUUUGAUCA
rnacentral:lncRNA from 1 species